rnacentral:sRNA from 1 species
GCUGGGCGUGGUGGCCCACGCCUGUAAUCCCAGUGGCUCAGGAGGCUGAGGGAGGAGGACUGCAAGUUCAAAGCCAGCUUCAGCAAAAGCGAGGCACUAAGUAACUCAGUGAGACCCUGUCUCUA